rnacentral:other from 1 species
AUUCCCCUGGUAUGUUCGUGAUUGGUGGAAGGUUUUGGGUCAAAACGAAUGAAAAAGGGAGUUCCCUUUUACUCUCGUGUGUUUCUUAGAUAUUGAAAGAAGGCCUAAUGGGGUAAUGGAACGCCCACCUAAACAACAGUAGAUCAAAAAAGAACUGCUGACACGGCAUUGGAGCGGGGGAAAA